rnacentral:lncRNA from 1 species
CCUAUCAAUGAUGGUACGCUCAACAUCCACCAAGCCAAAUUGUUUUGUAGUGAAACAUCGGGCAAAAAUAUAAAAAGACAAAUUGUAACCUCCCAAGCCAUUCUGCUAUCAUAUGAAUUCUCUAGUGCAGAUGGAGAUGCAAAUUGUAAACUGACAAUCCAAUAUGGUGGACAUAAUGAGACCUCAAAACUCUCCCCAAAGAAUGCAUACUUUGAUUAUGAGCCCGGCUCAUGGGAGAAAACAAGUUGGUUUAUUGUAGGAAUGCAUCCUACCUC